rnacentral:lncRNA from 1 species
GUCAACACACAGCACCAGCCUCAAGCAUUUACUCAGUCUGGGGUGUUAGGCACAGGAAAACUAGCAACAUCCUUCCUCUAGCCAAGGACCUUGUAAUCUUGUUAGAGAGACAAGAAUCUGGGCUCUUAAACAAUCAACGUCCUGUAUAAGGGACAAAAAGGGAAGACACAGGGAACAAAUAAAAGCCAUUUCCUUUUUGAGAACUUUCUUACCUCCAGAACACAAGGAAGUGGGCUUUGGCAAUGAUCUCGGCAGAAACCUCAGCCACAGACCACUGGGCGAUCAAGAAUGCUGCUGUGGCUUCCUGGGGACCCACAGCGCCUGUCCACAUGGAUCAAAUAACUCAAGUGAGUCAAACUUCCUCUCCCUGAACUGUGCAGACGUGGCCCCAGGCUUGGAGGCUUCUGGAAACCCUCAGAUGUCGAGUAUCGACUGGACAGAGCAUCCAGGUGUCCGGCUGAACUUUUCUGUAUUCACGCAGAUGUUCUAAGUCACAGGCAGUGGACGGAGUUCCUUGGAAUACUCACAAGGCCUCAGUCGUUACAGGAGCUGGAUCCUCUCCAGUGGAAGAGACAUUUUUUGUGGACCAGAGACCUGAGAGAGAAGCAGAAAGAAGUGUUCAGCAACGUGCUGGGGGCCCGCAUCCUAGGGAUGAAUCAUGCCAGUGAUUGGUUUGGGGUGGCCAUGUGACCCAGAUCCAGGAUCCAGAAACUUCGAAGGAGUUGCAGGCCUUGGUGUUCAAGAAGUAGCCCGUCAGCGUGCCCAUUUUGUAAAUGAAGUAACGGAGGUUGAGUGGCAUUGGGGCGGGCCUCCACCAGACCCACGGCUCUCACCGCAGGGCUCUGUGGGUCUUUCUUCCUGUGCACAGUAGUUCCA